UUUCCUGUUUCGUAGCUAGAUAAAAGCCUCGAAAAUUGUUAUAUUUUAGUAUGUGCAGAUAAUUGUGCAACAGAAGCAUAAUGGGAUUUACAGUUUUAAGCAUACUGGUGGCCUCCAUCACAGUUGUUACAAUACUUGGAGACUGUGGACAAGAUGAGCUUUACGUUAUUAGAACGGCUUCUAAUAAUGGUUUGGUUUUGGAUGCUACAGAUCCAACACUAAUCAAAUUACAACAUUUUAAUGGUUUUGCACCACAGCUAUGGAAAUUCGAACGUGGUAGCAAUGUUAGCUUGUUUUAUAUCGUCAGUUCCUACACAGGAAAUGUUAUCGACCUAAAAAAAGUGAACAACAAUUACUUUUUUCUUUUCAUGAAUGAACGAACGGGUAGUUUAUACCAACAAUGGGUGUACAAUCUUAAUAAUGGUAUUUUAAAUAUUGGCCAAGGAUGGAAUAUGGAUGUCUACAAGGCAAACUUCACUAGAAAUAACCCGGUGGGAGUAUAUGCACUUUACAACCGACAAAUCAACCAACAGUUUUUCUUGGAAAAGAAAAAUUAGUGCGUUAAUUUCGUCCUUUUUUGAUUAUUCGUUACCAAAAUGUAGCAAUAUUUUCUGUAAAAUAAACUAAUGAAUUUCAAUAAACAUAUCGACUGAACAA